GAUGAAGAACGCAGCGAAAUGCGAUAAGUAAUGUGAAUUGCAGAAUUCAGUGAAUCAUCGAAUCUUUGAACGCACAUUGCGCCCCUUGGUAUUCCGAGGGGCAUGCCUGUUCGAGCGUCAUUAUGACCACUCAAGCCUCGGCUUGGUAUUGGGGUUCCGCGGUCUCGCGGCCCUUAAAAUCAGUGGCGGUGCCGUCUGGCUCUAAGCGUAGUAAUUCUCUCGCUAUAGGGUUCCGACGGUUACUUGCCAGCAACCCCCAACCUCUCACGGUUGACCUCGGAUCAGGUAGGGAUACCCGCUGAACUUAAGCAUAUCAAUAAGCGGAGGGA
rnacentral:misc_RNA from 1 species